ensembl:snRNA Gm22960 predicted gene, 22960
ACGCUCUCUUUGGCAGCACAUACACUAAAAUUGGAAUGAUACAGAGAUUAGCAUGGUCCCUGCACAAGGAUGGCACACAAAGCAAGGAACUAGAGACGACUCUG